GACGAAGGGGGCUAGCGUUGUUCGGAAUUACUGGGCGUAAAGCGCGUGUAGGCGGUUGUUCAAGUCAGGUGUGAAAGCCUUGAGCUCAACUCAAGAAAUGCACUUGAUACUGGAUGACUAGAGGACCGGAGAGGAUAGUGGAAUUCCCAGUGUAGUGGUGAAAUACGUAGAGAUUGGGAAGAACACCAGUGGCGAAGGCGGCUCACUGGCCCGGUACUGACGCUGAGGUGCGAAAGCGUGGGGAGCAAACAGG
rnacentral:rRNA from 1 species